rnacentral:rRNA from 1 species
AUUGAACGCUGGCGGCAUGCCUUACACAUGCAAGUCGAACGGUAACGGGCCUUCGGGUGCCGACGAGUGGCGAACGGGUGAGUAAUGUAUCGGAACGUACCUUUCAGUGGGGGAUAACGUAGCGAAAGUUACGCUAAUACCGCAUAUUCUGUGAGCAGGAAAGCAGGGGAUCGCAAGACCUUGCGCUGAUUGAGCGGCCGAUGUCAGAUUAGCUAGUUGGUGAGGUAAAGGCUCACCAAGGCGCAGAUCUGUAGCGGGUCUGAGAGGAUGAUCCGCCACACUGGGACGGAGACACGGCCCAGACUCCUACGGGAGGCAGCAGUGGGGAAUUUUGGACAAUGGGGGCAACCCUGAUCCAGCCAUGCCGCGUGAGUGAAGAAGGCCUUCGGGUUGUAAAGCUCUUUCGGCCGGGAAGAAAUCGCACAGGCUAAUACCUUGUGUGGAUGACGGUACCGGAAUAAGAAGCACCGGCUAACUACGUGCCAGCCGCCGCCGUAAUAC